GCCGGCCACCGCCGCGCGGCGCUGCUCGGGGACUGCUACUUUGCAAGGCGGCGGCUGCCCCUGCGGGGUUCGGGUUGCAGGGUCAAGUGUCACGUCCUCCGCAAUCUCCAAUAUUCCUGUAAUGUAUUUAAAUGGACGAAUUCAUUACGCGGGGCCGUGUGAAUGGGGCGAGGCCGCGAGCGCGGCGCGAUCAGUAGCGCCCACUAACAGUUCGUUCUGCACGGCGGAGCGCGAGACCGCGGACCCACGGAAGCCCCCUCAAUGGUGUUUGCGUCCUCGCCGCCACCGGCUUGGUAGGGUCCUUUAGGGAAGGAGGAAGAGUUCAGGCACCCGGACAGAUCCUAAUGGUCUUUCUGAUUUUUCUUUCCCUUCGGUCCGCUUUCCCCGCGACCUCCUCCACCCUCAGUCCGCCUUUCAAACGUCGUCCGCGGGGAUGGCUG
rnacentral:lncRNA from 1 species